AGGGCGCAAGGUGGAUGCCUUGGUGCCAGGAGGCGAUGAAAGACGUGGUUAGCUGCGAUAAGCUUCGGGGAGCCGCUAAACAGGCUUAGAUCCGGGGAUUUCUGAAUGGGGGAACCCGGUCCGUGUCAUGACGGAUCAUCUGCAACUGAAUACAUAGGUUGCUGAAGCGAACGAGGGGAACUGAAACAUCUAAGUACCCUCAGGAAAAGAAAACGACAGUGAUUCUCUAAGUAGCGGCGAGCGAACGGGGAAGAGCCUAAACCGAUUGUGUGUGAUAGCCUGCAAGCGUUGCAUAGUCGGGGUUGCGGAGCUCCAUUAGAGAGGAUUGCAGUUCUCUCGGAAAGUUACAAAAUCUGUUUAUAGCUGAAUCUUCUGGAAAGGGGAGUCAUAGAGGGUGAUAAUCCCGUAAGCGAAAUGAACAGAUCUUUCUGGAUGGAGUUUCCAAGUACUGCGGGACACGAGAAAUCCCGCAGGAAACUAGGGGGACCAUCUCCUAAGGCUAAAUACUACCUGGCAACCGAUAGUGAACUAGUACCGUGAGGGAAAGGUGAAAAGCACUCCGAAAGGAGAAUGAAAUAGUACCUGAAACCGUGCGCCUACAAGGUGUGGAAGGACCAGGGAUGAAGCAAUUCAUCCGGUCUGACUGCGUGCCUUUUGUAUAAUGAGUCAGCGAGUUACUUCUACGUAGCGAGGUUAAGCCGUCAGGUGUAGCCGUAGCGAAAGCGAGUCUUAAUAGGGCGAAUUAGUUGCGUGGAGUAGACCCGAAACCAAGUGAUCUAUUCAUGGCCAGGGUGAAGCGCAUGUAACAGUGCGUGGAGGCCCGAACCGGUGUGGGUUGAAAACCGCUCGGAUGAGCUGUGAAUAGGGGUGAAAGGCCAAUCAAACUUGGAAAUAGCUGGUUCUCCCCGAAAUAUAUUUUGGUAUAGCCUCGCAACUUUAAGUAUCGGAGGUAGAGCACUGAAUGGGCUAGGGGUCUUACCGGACUACCAACCCCAACCAAACUCCGAAUGCCGAUAACUUCAAUUGCGGGAGUCAGACGGCGGGAGAUAAGUUCCGUCGUCGAAAGGGAAACAGCCCAGAUCGCCAGCUAAGGUCCCUAAUACAUGCUAAGUGGAAAAGGAUGUGGAAACGUAUAGACAGCCAGGAGGUUGGCUUAGAAGCAGCCACCCUUUAAAGAAAGCGUAAUAGCUCACUGGUCAAAUGAGUCUGCGCCGAAAAUUUAACGGGGCUCAAGCAUGUAACCGAAGCUGCGGACUUGCACCGUAAGGUGGGAGUGGUAGGGGAGCAUUCUAUCGUAGAGCGAAGCCGGAUCGUAAGGCCCGGUGGACGAAAUAGAAGAGAUUAUGCUGACAUAAGUAGCGAAAAAGUCUGUGAAAAACAGACUCGCCGAAAACCUAAGGUUUCCUGAGUAAAGUUAAUCUGCUCAGGGUUAGUCGAUCCCUAAGCCGAGGCCGACAGGCGUAGGUGAUGGGAAACAGGUUAAUAUUCCUGUACCACUGAAGAAGCGUUAUCAACAAUGGGGGGACGUAGAAGGGUAGACCAUCCGGGUGUUGGAUGUCCCGGUUCAAGCUUGUAGGAGGAGAUUCCAGGAAAAUCCGGAGUCUUAUUAAACUCUGAGAAGUGAUGAGGAGAGAUUUAUCUCGUAAACUGGUUGAUCCCAUGCUACCAAGAAAAGCCUCUAGUGAGUUUCUUCGGUGAUCGUACCGUAAACUGACACAGGUAGGUAAGGAGAAUAUCCUAAGGCGCUUGAGUAAUAUCUCGUUAAGGAACUCGGCAAAAUGACACCGUAACUUCGGAAGAAGGUGUGCCUCAUUAGCGUGAAGCGAUUAGCACGUGAAGCGCGAGGAGGUUGCAGUGAAACGGCCCAAGCGACUGUUUAGCAAAAACACAGGACUCUGCUAAGUCGUAAGACGAUGUAUAGGGUCUGACGCCUGCCCGGUGCCGGAAGGUUAAGGGGAUUUGUUAGGGGUAACCCGAAGCUUUGAACCGAAGCCCCGGUAAACGGCGGCCGUAACUACAACGGUCCUAAGGUAGCGAAAUUCCUUGUCGGGUAAGUUCCGACCUGCACGAAUGGCGUAACGAUUUGGG
rnacentral:rRNA from 1 species